UUUCUCAAGAAGGGAGUUUUCCCACCAACAUCACUUCACUUGAAAUUGGAAAUACCAUAGUGGACGUCGGUCAACUUCUUCCGCCUCCAUCUCUAUUAGAGUGGGGUUUGCACAAACUCUCUUCUCUUACCACACCCAUACUUGAAGGCCCAGCUUGGCCAUGGGGAGAAGAAGGGAUGUUCUUGCCCACCUCUCUCAUCAAAUUGAUCAUCUUGAACUUCCCAAAUCUGGAAAGACUCUCUUAUGAGGAGUUUCAAAACCUCACCUCUCUCCAAACACUUGAUAUCUGGGGAUGUAAUCCAAUAUUGAAACAGAAGUGUGAAAAGGGGAAAGGCCAAUAUUGGCCCAUCAUCCAAUACAUUCCUUAUGUAUAUGUAUAUGUAUAAGCAGCCAACUGCAGGGCUUUGUUGUUGUGGAAACAAACUUUAGGAUGUAUUCAUACUCAUUGUCUAAACUGCAUUGCGAGAUUUUCUGCCUCUUUUCAAGUAAGUCUUUGCAUGAGAAUAUGGCGGUUUGUUCUGGAAAGCCUCAAAAAAGAUCACAGUGAAAGCAGAAAUGCUCGUCCACAUCUGAGAAUUCCCCUGUCAUCCAAGGCAAUAGAUUCUGUGUGUAAUCUGCAAGAAGGGAUUUGAAGAGGAGAAAGAAAGGAAAAGGAAAGAAAGGAGAGAUGAAAUAAAUUGUACGAACUUGCUUUUUUGUCUGUUUAUGUUGGUGGGAUGGGCUUUUAAUAAAGCUCUUUUAGCUUGAGUAGUAACCCAUUGUUUGGAGGAGUAUUUGGAAUGCAAAGUCUCUUCUGGAGGUUGUGCUGCGUUGGCUUAUUGGAAAUGCAGGUCUAUGAAGAUUUGGAAAGAUAGAUGGAUUCCAAGGCCUUACUCUUACAAAGCUAUUUGUGUUUCCAAAGUCCUCCAUGCCGAUGCUAAGGCUUUCUCAUGACAUACUGCUUUGGCACUUCACUAAAAGUGGCCUUUUUAAUGUUAAGUUGGCAUAUCAUUUGGAGAUGGAUUUGUGAAGCAGAGAAACACCAGUCAGUUCAGAUGAUGGGAGUUUUGAAAGGGCGUUUUCAAGGAAGAUUUGGCAGCUGAAAAUUCUAAAUAAAGUGAAAAUAUUCUCAUGGAAAACAUGUUCGAAUAUCUUUCCUGUUCAAUCAAAGUUGGGGAGGUGCAAAGUAAUUCAAUUUGAUGGCUUCACUAUUUCCCUUUUGCUGCACAAGUUUGGUCUUUAAGCUCUCUUUACUCUGUUCUCCAUAUAGGCCCAGCUCAAAAUUUUCUUUUCUUGAUUCAGGAGUUUAGCCAACAAAUGGAUGUGUUGCGAUUGGGAUUAUUGUUUUUCAUUUGCUGAAGUAUUUUGAACAAUUGCAAUGAUUGCGUUUUAACUAGAAGAGUCAAUCAGCAGAGGAUGUUGCUAGGCACGUCGCUGAUUACUUACAACACAGCUCAAGAUCACUACUCCUGUUCAGCAAAAAGAUGUUUCCAGU